rnacentral:tRNA from 1 species
UGGGACAUAGCCAAGUUGGUAAGGCUGUGGACUUUGGCUCCACCACGCGUAGGUUCGAAUCCUACUGCCCCAG